UACGGAGGGUGCAAGCGUUGUUCGGAAUUAUUGGGCGUAAAGGGCAGGUAGGUGGUCCCAAAAGUCUACUGUGAAAUCCCCGGGCUUAACCCGGGAAGUGCGGUAGAUACUCUGGGACUAGAGUGCUGGAGGGGUUCGUGGAAUUCCCGGUGUAGCGGUGAAAUUCGUAGAUAUUGGGUGGAACACCGGUGGCGAAGGCGGCUCACUGGUCCGGUUCUGGACGCUGAGGCGCGAAAGCGUGGGGAGCAAACAGG
rnacentral:rRNA from 1 species